rnacentral:rRNA from 1 species
UACGUAGGGGGCAAGCGUUGUCCGGAAUUAUUGGGCGUAAAGAGCGUGUAGGCGGCCAGAUAAGUCCGCUGUGAAAUCUCGAGGCUCAACUUCGAGCUGUCGGUGGAAACUAUCUGGCUAGAGUCCGGAAGAGGAGAAUGGAAUUCCUGGUGUAGCGGUGAAAUGCGCAGAUAUCAGGAGGAACACCGGUGGCGAAGGCGGGUCUCUGGGCCGUAACUGACGCUGGAGGAGCGAAAGCGUGGGGAGCGAACAGG